AUUUUUUUGGGCCGCUCCCACGGCAUAUGGAGGUUCCCAGGCUAGGAGUCCAAUCGGAGCUGUAGCCCCUGGCCUAUGCCAGAGCCACAGCAACGCAGGAUCCGAGCCGCGUCUGCAACCUACACCACAGCUCACGGCAAUGCUGGAUCAUUAACCCACUGAGCAAGGGCAGGGACCGAACCCGCAACCUCAUGGUUCCUAGUCAGAUUUGUUAACCACUGCGCCAUGAUGGGAACUCCCCGGCCGCAGUUCUGAUGAAUGCCUCCCAACAAGGAGGUCCCCACAGGUGUUCUGCACACCUCCUUCUGGCGGAUCAAGACAGAGGACACGGAGGAGUGAAGGGGUCUAGAAAGGGCUACACACAGACUGGCCGAGGGGCAGGACCCAGAAGUGGGUGAAACAGGACAACAGGCUCAGAGGAAGUGAAUCCAGCCUCAUGAGCCACGGUGGGGUCCAGGGGGGCCUGCAAACCAGGGAAGGCCAGGCAUGGAGCUGGCAGCUGGAACCGGGUUUCUGGCCUGGUGGUGGAUUUCUUCUCCUCUGGGCACCCAGCCUGCCACCUGUGGCCUCAGAGCAGCCGGCAAAGUGACUGGCCUGGAGCAGGUGCACAGUUAAAGUGUGCGGGAAAGCUAGGCAGGUGAGCUCAGGAGUAAAUGCCCAGCCAGGUCUCCACCACUCAUUGGCAGCCCGUGUGCACAGCUUGGCAGAGGCUCCUUCUCAACACACCAAGGGGGAAAGGAUGCCGGUCUUAAUUAUGGAGAAAGAGGGUAUCCUAGCUGGACAAAAACUGGCUGACCCCUGGCAGGACUGGCGAGCUCACAGCCCUUGCAGAGAAGAAUCUGCAUGAGUAAACACACAUGGAGUUUCUUGUCUCGUGGCUGAGGAAGUUGGGACAGGUUGUUAUUUUGUGUGUCUGUAUCCAUAUUGGUUAAAAAAAUGAAGGCAAAAUAGCAUUUGACAUGGGACUUAAUUGAUACGGUACUAUGUUGGUCUGAUAAUUUUGUACAUAAUUACUAUUACUAGCAAACUCACGGGCAGUGCUGACUGACCGUGCCACAGGGGCUGUUAAGUGCUUAACAUCUUGAACAAUAGUUGUCUGCUUGGGGAUGGGGGAUGGAUAUUGAAGAGAAGAAGCAAAGAGUCACGUGGUCUGAUUGCUUCUGCACUGCAAGGAUCCCUUCUCUAGCAUCCCUAGCAGAGGCCAGCCCGUCUUAACCCAACCUCCGCCCCCGCCCCCCUCCCAAGAGAGCCCGUUUCAUGUGGGAACUGCUCGAGUCCUCAGAAACUUUUCCUUCCCGUAGAAGUGAAAUGAGAUAUCUGCUGCCUGGAGUUCCCCCUGGGGCUCAGUGGACUAUGAGCCUGACUCGUAUCCACAAAGAUUUGGGUUCGUUCCUUGGCCUCGCCCACUGGGCUAAGGAUCUGGGGUUGCCACGAUUUGUGGUGUAGGUCACAGACGCAGCUCGGAUCCUGCGUUGCUGUGGCUGUGGUGUAGACUGGCAGCUACAACUUCAAUUGGACCCUUAGCCUGCAAACCUCCAUAUGCUGUAGGUUCAGCCCUAAACACACACACACACACACACACACACACACACACACACACACACACACACACACACACACACACACGUCUUCUGCCUAAUAGCUCCUCCCCAUUCAACGCCCUUUGGUUUGCUUCCCAGAAUUAUUCAGAGGGCUCCCAUUUCUCUCUCAAGGGACACUCCUUCAACUCUUAGAAGCCCUCCGAGCUGACCGCCUUCCAUUGUCCCCCAGGUCCACUCUGCCCCCCCCCCACCAACUGUCUGCUCUCCUGCCGGGGGAAUCUGACUUGUAGGAAUCAUAUCAAAGCCUCCCAAGCUCUUGGGUUUGCAACUGGGCUUGGACAAUGGGGAGCCCUGGCAGAAAUCAGAAGGAGCAGAGGCGGUCAAGUUUGGGCAUCGCAGUCCCAGCCCGCCUCCUGCACUGUCACCUGAAGCUUCUGGGAACACUGGGAGGUCCUUGUUCCAAUCUAGGUAGCUUUCUCCCUGGAUGGCCUCCCUCUCAUCACUUUCAGCCUCCAGGCGGGAACCCCUUGCCUCCUCUGAAGCCCCAGUUGACUGCACCUGCCUCUGUGAUGCUCUUACAGCCACACCUUUGCAAAGGGUCCUUUGGAAAUAAAUUACCCUUGGAGUGUAUUCUCUGCAGCUCUGACUGACGCCACAGCUUUCCAGUCCCCCAUGUGCUGUCCCCUCCUUAAGUAAAAGCUCAGUAUAACUGGCCAUUCCAUUUUCAACCCUCAUCAUCUUGAGGGGAGAUUAUCUGGAAUGCCAUACUCAUCUCCCAAAUUCAAUAACAACCUUUGGCCAGAAGCAUUCAAAUUCCGUCUCUUUUAUCUGCCAUUGCCUGAAGCAAAACCUAUUUGAGGGACCCUUCGGCUGGAGUCCGCCAGACCACGGGGCUGAUACAGCAAAGUGUGCAGGGUUACCUUACGAAGCAUCCUCUCGCUCCCCACCUGCCUCUGCAAAUAGGUGAGCGCGGGGAAAACAGAAGGAGCGGCAGCUCCCAGUUUCCGAGUGAUGGGGGUUGCGACCUGUUUCCUGGAUUCUCACUCAGCACCUCCUCUUUUAACACCUCCUCCCACCCCUUCUGGAUAAGAAUUAAUAACACCUACGACACAGGACGAGGGGCCGGUGGUCGGUCACACCGCUUUUCAGAGGGCAGCCCAUGCUCAAAGGAAGGACGUGGCUCUGCCCAUCUUCCCAGCUAAGUGCACCUCCCUGUACACCGGCACCAGCAGAUUCUCUCUAGAUGCAGAGGUGAGGCUGGCCGUUUAUGUCCAAGCUGGCUCACUGGAUCCUCACUCAUGCAGGUGAGGCCCUGAUGGAUGGGGAGUCACGACUGCUGUUCACCUCACUUUCUGAUUGUCCCCUCUUUGGUCACAUGGCAAGACCGUGCGUCUGGGCUCCCUCAGGGCUGCGAGGGACCAUGUGAUGAGUUCUGGCCAAUGAGCAUGAAGAGAAGUGCUACCGCCAGGCUGCUGCUUUGCCCAUGCAAGACCUUCCCAAGGUUUCUUUCCCUCUGUCACUGUCCCUGCACAGUUCCUGGGAGGCUCCUUCCGUCUGGGUCCUGGAGUGAGGAGGAGGAUGGUGAUGGGGCAGCCGUGCCCACCUGGCUGACAGGGCAGGGACACAAGAGUGGGAGCAGGAAACAGACCUUGGCUGUUGUAAGAUUGCAAAGAUUGGGGGUUUGUGUCUAUCUUGGCUCAGAGAGGGGCAUCUGGAGGUUUGUGGGUGAGUAACGGCCUCCGUCCAAGUCUGGGCCAGACAGUUCCAUGG
rnacentral:lncRNA from 1 species